UACGGAGGGUGCGAGCGUUGUCCGGAUUCACUGGGCGUAAAGGGCGCGUAGGCGGCCCGGUCAGUCGGCUCUGUAAGGCCGGGGCUCAACCCCGGUUUGGGGGUCGGGACGGCCGGGCUGGGGCGCGGUAGAGGGGGACGGAAUGCCGGGUGUAGUGGUGAAAUGCGUAGAGAUCCGGCGGAACACCGGUGGUGAAGGCGGUCCCCUGGGCCGAGGCCGACGCUGAGGCGCGAGAGCGUGGGGAGCGAACCGG
rnacentral:misc_RNA from 1 species